CAGCAGUAGCCGCGGGAACACGUAGGUGGCAAGCGUUGUCCGGAAUUAUUGGGCGUAAAGGGCUCGCAGGCGGUUUCUUAAGUCUGAUGUGAAAGCCCCCGGCUCAACCGGGGAGGGUCAUUGGAAACUGGGAAACUUGAGUGCAGAAGAGGAGAGUGGAAUUCCACGUGUAGCGGUGAAAUGCGUAGAGAUGUGGAGGAACACCAGUGGCGAAGGCGACUCUCUGGUCUGUAACUGACGCUGAGGAGCGAAAGCGUGGGGAGCGAACAGGAUUAGAUACCCCUGUAGUCCCUGUCUCUUAUAC
rnacentral:rRNA from 1 species